GGAGGGAUGGCAGAGCGGUUGAAUGCAACGGUCUUGAAAACCGUCGGGCGCCAUCGCGUCCCGAGAGUUCGAAUCUCUCUCCCUCCGCCA
rnacentral:tRNA from 1 species